GACGAACGCUGGCGGCGUGCUUAAUACAUGCAAGUCGAACGGAAAGGCCCUGCUUUUGUGGGGUGCUCGAGUGGCGAACGGGUGAGUAACACGUGAGUAACCUGCCCUUGACUUUGGGAUAACUUCAGGAAACUGGGGCUAAUACCGGAUAGGAGCUCCUGCUGCAUGGUGGGGGUUGGAAAGUUUCGGCGGUUGGGGAUGGACUCGCGGCUUAUCAGCUUGUUGGUGGGGUAGUGGCUUACCAAGGCUUUGACGGGUAGCCGGCCUGAGAGGGUGACCGGCCACAUUGGGACUGAGAUACGGCCCAGACUCCUACGGGAGGCAGCAGUGGGGAAUAUUGCACAAUGGGCGGAAGCCUGAUGCAGCAACGCCGCGUGCGGGAUGACGGCCUUCGGGUUGUAAACCGCUUUCGCCUGUGACGAAGCGUGAGUGACGGUAAUGGGUAAAGAAGCACCGGCUAACUAUGUG
rnacentral:rRNA from 1 species